rnacentral:rRNA from 1 species
AUCCUUCGGGAUUAGUGGCGGACGGGUGAGUAACACGUGGGAACGUGCCUUUUGGUUCGGAACAACUCAGGGAAACUUGAGCUAAUACCGGAUAAGCCUUUCGAGGGAAAGAUUUAUCGCCAUUAGAGCGGCCCGCGUAGGAUUAGCUAGUUGGUGGGGUAAAGGCCCACCAAGGCUACGAUCCUUAGCUGGUCUGAGAGGAUGAUCAGCCACAUUGGGACUGAGACACGGCCCAAACUCCUACGGGAGGCAGCAGUGGGGAAUCUUGCGCAAUGGGCGAAAGCCUGACGCAGCCAUGCCGCGUGAAUGAUGAAGGUCUUAGGAUUGUAAAAUUCUUUCACCGGGGACGAUAAUGACGGUACCCGGAGAAGAAGCCCCGGCUAACUUCGUGCCAGCAGCCGCGGUAAUACGAAGGGGGCUAGCGUUGCUCGGAAUUACUGGGCGUAAAGGGAGCGUAGGCGGAUAGUUUAGUCAGAGGUGAAAGCCCAGGGCUCAACCUUGGAAUUGCCUUUGAUACUGGCUAUCUUGAGUACGGAAGAGGUAUGUGGAACUCCGAGUGUAGAGGUGAAAUUCGUAGAUAUUCGGAAGAACACCAGUGGCGAAGGCGACAUACUGGUCCGUUACUGACGCUGAGGCUCGAAAGCGUGGGGAGCAAACAGGAUUAGAUACCCUGGUAGUCCACGCUG